rnacentral:rRNA from 1 species
GAUGAACGCUGGCGGCGUGCUUAACACAUGCAAGUCGAACGAAGCACUUUAUUUGAUUUCCUUCGGGACUGAUUAUUUUGUGACUGAGUGGCGGACGGGUGAGUAACGCGUGGGUAACCUGCCUUGUACAGGGGGAUAACAGUUGGAAACGGCUGCUAAUACCGCAUAAGCGCACAGCAUCGCAUGAUGCAGUGUGAAAAACUCCGGUGGUAUAAGAUGGACCCGCGUUGGAUUAGCUAGUUGGUGAGGUAACGGCCCACCAAGGCGACGAUCCAUAGCCGACCUGGGAGGGUGACAGGCCGCAUCGGGACUGAGACACGGACCAAACUCCUACGGGAGGCAGCAGUGGGGAAUAUUGCACAAUGGGGGAAAGCCUGAUGCAGCGACGCCGCGUGAGCGAAGAAGUAUUUCGGUAUGUAAAGCUCUAUCAGCAGAGAAGAUAAUGACGGUACCUGACGAAGAAGCACCGGCUAACUACGUG